CCAAAGCCUUCGAGAAUUUCCUCAAAAUUCAUAACCUUCAUGAAAAAAAUGUUCCUUUUAGACCAGAAAUCUAAUAACUCCACUUGAAAUCAAAACCGCCCGUACUUUGAAACCACCGAUCUCAAACUGUGGAGGGUUUCUCGGCGUGCAGCAUCAAGGCGCUGCAGGAAGAGCAUGGUCAACUUUUCUAACUAAUUGGAGAAAUACGGUGUCCACAGGAAGUCCCCAGGGCAGACAGCCAAGGAUCAAAUCAUCUGGAAAGGUCUACAGGCCAUAUACAAGUUCGAAAAACUCAACAAUAGUUACCCGCGCUCUCUUCAGAGGGAGUCUGGGUACAGAAGGGGAUUCUCACCCCUCCUAACCUAGGCUGUCUUGUGUAGGAUGAAAACUGACUGAUACCCUUGCCCAGCCCUACCUGCCUGGUAAGCAGGUUUCAGACCAACUGUGUGCGAGGCAGGACUCAGUUAAGAAUUCAAAGCUGGGUGAUGCAUACCCCUCUAUGCCACUGGGGGAUCAAUAA
rnacentral:lncRNA from 1 species